GAUUUUUGGGAAUCUCAAAGGAUCUUAGCUGAAAGUAUGUCAUCUGCCUUAGUUGAUGACGACGAUGAUGAUGCGAAAGAAGAAGGAAAAGCCACAAAAUUA
rnacentral:ribozyme from 1 species